rnacentral:misc_RNA from 1 species
GAUGAAGAACGCAGCAAAAUGCGAUAAGUAAUGUGAAUUGCAGAAUUCAGUGAAUCAUCGAAUCUUUGAACGCACAUUGCGCCCGCUGGUAUUCUGGCGGGCAUGCCUGUUCGAGCGUCAUUACAACCCUCAGGCCCCCGGGCCUGGCGUUGGGGAUCGGCGGAGCCCCCCGUGGGCACACGCCGUCCCCCAAAUACAGUGGCGGUCCCGCCGCAGCUUCCAUCGCGUAGUAGCUAACACCUCGCGACUGGAGAGCGGCGCGGCCACGCCGUAAAACACCCAACUCUUCUGAAGUUGACCUCGAAUCAGGUAGGAAUACCCGCUGAACUUAAGCAUAUCAAUAAGCGGAGGA